GAUUAGAGUUUGAUCCUGGCUCAGAACGAACGCUGGCGGCAUGCCUAACACAUGCAAGUCGAACGAAGGCUUCGGCCUUAGUGGCGCACGGGUGCGUAACGCGUGGGAAUCUGCCCCUCGGUUCGGAAUAACAGUUAGAAAUGACUGCUAAUACCGGAUGAUGACUUCGGUCCAAAGAUUUAUCGCCGAGGGAUGAGCCCGCGUAGGAUUAGGUAGUUGGUGGGGUAAAGGCCUACCAAGCCGACGAUCCUUAGCUGGUCUGAGAGGAUGAUCAGCCACACUGGGACUGAGACACGGCCCAGACUCCUACGGGAGGCAGCAGUGGGGAAUAUUGGACAAUGGGCGAAAGCCUGAUCCAGCAAUGCCGCGUGAGUGAUGAAGGCCUUAGGGUUGUAAAGCUCUUUUACCAGGGAUGAUAAUGACAGUACCUGAGAAUAGCU
rnacentral:rRNA from 1 species